rnacentral:rRNA from 1 species
UACAUGGGAGGCGAGCGUUAUCCGGAAUUACUGGGCGUAAAGCGUGCGCAGGCGGUUAUGUAAGACAGGUGUGAAAUCCCCGGGCUUAACCUGGGAACUGCAUUUGUGACUGCAUAGCUAGAGUACGGUAGAGGGGGAUGGAAUUCCGCGUGUAGCAGUGAAAUGCGUAAAUAUGCGGAGGAACACCGAUGGCGAAGGCAAUCCCCUGGACCUGUACUGACGCUCAUGCACGAAAGCGUGGGGAGCAAACAGG